UACGUAGGGUGCAAGCGUUAAUCGGAAUUACUGGGCGUAAAGCGUGCGCAGGCGGUUUUGUAAGUCUGUCGUGAAAUCCCCGGGCUCAACCUGGGAAUUGCGAUGGAGACUGCAAGGCUAGAAUCUGGCAGAGGGGGUAGAAUCCACGUGUAGCAGUGAAAUGCGUAGAGAUGUGGAGGAACACCGAUGGCGAAGGGCAGCCCCUGGGUCAAGAUUGACGCUCAUGCAC
rnacentral:rRNA from 1 species